UACGUAGGGCGCAAGCGUUGUCCGGAAUUAUUGGGCGUAAAGAGCUCGUAGGCGGUCUGUCGCGUCCGUUGUGAAAACUCGAGGCUCAACCGCGGGCCUGCAGCCGAUACGGGCAGGCUAGAGUUCGGUAGGGGAGACUGGAAUUCCUGGUGUAGCGGUGAAAUGCGCAGAUAUCAGGAGGAACACCGAUGGCGAAGGCAGGUCUCUGGGCCGAUACUGACGUGAGGAGCGAAAGCGUGGGGAGCGAACAGG
rnacentral:rRNA from 1 species